AUCAUUAUCGAACGAACAGGGGACUGUGCUGGCUCCUUCAUGGGAGCAUGUGCACGUCUCUACUCUCACACACACACUUGUGCACUCACUGUAGGUCCUCGCGAGAGGAUCUAUGUCUUCUACACACCCAGAUGUAUGGCCACAGAAUGUAGUUAUUUCAGUACAACUUUCAGCGAUGGAUCUCUUGGCUCUCGCAUCGAUGAAGGACGCAGCGAAUCGCGAUAAGUAAUGUGAAUUGCAGAUUUCCAGUGAAUCAUCGAAUCUUUGAACGCACCUUGCGCUCCUUGGUACUCCGAGGAGCAUGCCUGUCUGAGUGUCCCAUGAGUUCUCAAGCCCAUGCUUCGGCAUGGCUUGGAUGUGGGGGCUGCUGGCGUCGAAAGGCGUCAGCUCCCCUGAAAUGCAUUAGUGAAGACCAGUGGGUCUGGGCAAGCAUGGCUGUCUCGACGUGAUAACGAUCGUCGUCGGCCAGCAUGUCUGGGCUCGCACGCUCGCGGUCGUUUCGCUCCUAACCCCAGCGGAAGAGGUCAGCUUGGCUAGUAGUCGGUCGUGAGGCCGGCGAACGUGGGGCUGGGCUCGGACCACCCAGCGAAGAGGUCAGCUCUGCCAGUAGUCGGUCGUGAGGCCGGCGAUCGUGGGGCUGGGCUUGGAGCGCCCUUGAUGAACGGACCUCAGAUCAGGUAGGACUACCCGCUGAACUUAA
rnacentral:rRNA from 1 species